AGCUAAGACUGAGCCUAAGUUUCACUGCCUCUGAAAUUUCCAGGGAGAAGAAACUUUUAUAAUCCAAGCAGUCUGACAAGGAGAGUUGAGUUAUACUCUUCUUCCAUGACCUUUCAGUGUCUCUAGCUGUCUAUCUGAAGUACAGAAGAAAAGAAGAAAAGUAACAUGGGUUGCGAUCAUGAAGGUGGCAUAGUGGUUUACUCUUGCCGUUGAAUCAUCCUGAAUCCUUCCUGUGGAGAACAAGGGAUGAAAAAGUG